rnacentral:rRNA from 1 species
UACGUAUGGAGCAAGCGUUAUCCGGAUUUACUGGGUGUAAGGGGAGCGCAGGCGGUCUGGCAAGUCUGAUGUGAAAGGCCGGGGCUCAACCCCGGGACUGCAUUGGAAACUGUCAGACUGGAGUGUCGGAGAGGUAAGCGGAAUUCCUAGUGUAGCGGUGAAAUGCGUAGAUAUUAGGAGGAACACCAGUGGCGAAGGCGGCUUACUGGACGAUGACUGACGCUGAGGCUCGAAAGCGUGGGGAGCAAACAGG